rnacentral:rRNA from 1 species
GAUGAACGCUGGCGGCGUGCCUCAAACAUGCAAGUCGAGCGGGGCUAUGUAAUAUCGCAAGGUAGAACAUAGCCUAGCGGCGAACGGGUGAGUAACACCGUGGGUAACCUGCCUGGAAGACAGGGAUAACGAUUCGAAAGGGUCGCUAAUACCUGAUAAUAUCCUUUCAUCGCAUGGUGAUAGGAAGAAAGGGGAAACCCGCUUUCAGAUGGGCCCGCGUCCCAUCAGCUAGUUGGUAAGGUAAAGGCUUACCAAGGCGACGACGGGUAGCCGGUCUGAGAGGAUGUACGGCCACACUGGGACUGAGAUACGGCCCAGACUCCUACGGGAGGCAGCAGUUGGGAAUCUUAGGCAAUGGACGAAAGUCUGACCUAGCGACGCCGCGUGAGGGAAGAAGGCCUUCGGGUUGUAAACCUCUGUCAUGGGGAAGAAGUAAGUGACGGUACCCCAAGAGGAAGCCCCUGCUAACUACGUG